GUAGGUGGCAAGCGUUGUCCGGAAUUAUUGGGCGUUAAAAGCGCGCGCAGGCGGUCCUUUAAGUCUGAUGUGAAAGCCCACGGCUCAACCGUGGAGGGUCAUUGGAAACUGGGGGACUUGAGUACAGAAGAGGAAAGCGGAAUUCCAAGUGUAGCGGUGAAAUGCGUAGAGAUUUGGAGGAACACCAGUGGCGAAGGCGGCUUUCUGGUCUGUAACUGACGCUGAGGCGCGAAAGCGUGGGGAGCAAACAGGAUUAGAUACCCUGGUAGUCCACGCCGUAAACGAUGAGUGCUAAGUGUUAGGGGGUUUCCGCCCCUUAGUGCUGCAGCUAACGCAUUAAGCACUCCGCCUGGGGAGUACGGCCGCAAGGCU
rnacentral:rRNA from 1 species